AGUCACCGCCCAGUAUUCUCACUCUCCAUUCUUACGCUCUGCAGCCAGGGGCGUAGCUAUUAAGAGCUUGCCCUGGGGCAAGAAAAUGAAAUUUUUUUCAAUACCCUCAGAGCCCUCUCUUCGCCGAGCAAGAGCAACCUGAUGCUGACCAUCGCGAUCCCCUAGAGACUCGCCGCCGCCGGCCGAAAAUGGCUGAAGAAAAGCUGGAUACACAAUUUUACCUGUAGAUCUGCAGAUCCAUGGCAAAUUCGCCUUUUUAGGGUUUAGUUAUUGAGGGGAAUUUCGGUAUUUUCGCUUUGGUCUUGUAUAAAGUGACCUGUUUUAGGAAAAAAAUCCGUUCUUGUUUCGGUUUGGUAUCUUCAGCCAUAGCUUCCUUGUUUGAUUGGUUUUGUGUUAUUCCUCUGAGCCUGAGCUUAAAAGCUCUUUGAUGCUUGCUUUCGAAGUCUCUCCCUUUUGUAUUGCCCUUGAAAGUUCCCUUCGGUUUUGGCUAGUUUUGGCUGUUGUAUUGCCCUUGAAAGUCUCUCAACCUGGUCAUGGAGUUUGUGCCUGAAUCUUUAUACCGAGUUCUUAAGCAUUAUAGUAGUAUGAACCAGAGGAUGCCAUUGAUAUUUGUGAAGUUCUAUACCUAUCAGAUUUUCAGGGGGCUAGCUUAUAUUCAUAGUGUUCCAGGUGUUUGCCAUAGAGAUGUGAAGCCACAGAAUGUUCUGGUUGAUCCUCUCACUCACCAAGUUAAGCUUUGUGGUUUUGGAAGCGCCAAAAUUCUGGUUAAGGGUGAAGCAAACAUAUCUUGCAUUUGUUCACGCUAUUAUCGUGCUCCGGAACUUAUAUUUGGGGUGACAGAGUACGCUACUUCUAUUGACAUAUGGUCAGCAGGCUGUCCUUGCUGAGUUACUCCUUGGGCAGGUAUCUUUCAGUGAUGAAACUGUUCCUCACCAAAGGUCUGAAACAAAUCUCAAAUGGAGAGACAAGAGAAGGAAAUUGCUAUGAUUAAUCCAUAUUUUGAAGAACUUAAAUGGUUUUUUUCCUUGCUUUUCCUCUUCAUAAAUUGAUACCAAAGCAGGAGUGAUGUGUAAUGAUUAGAGAGACUAAAUUUAAAAGUUAUUGUCUGUACUAAAAAUAUGGCUUAAAGCCCUUUAUCUUUUUCACGAUGUGCUUACUCAGAUGAACAUGUUUUAUUUCAACUA